CCUACGGGCGGCAGCAGUGAGGAAUAUUGGUCAAUGGGCGAGAGCCUGAACCAGCCAAGUCGCGUGAAGGACGACGGUCCUAUGGAUUGUAAACCUCUUUUGUCGGGGAACAAAAAGAGGCACGAGUACCGCAUCGAGGGUACCUGAAGAAAAAGCAUCGGCUAACUCCGUGCCAGCAGCCGCGGUAAUACGGAGGAUGCGAGCGUUAUCCGGAUUUAUUGGGGUUAAAGGGUGCGUAGGCGGGCGGUUAAGUCAGCGGUAAAAGUUCGGGGUUCAACCCCGACAAGCCGUUGAUACUGGCUGUCUAGAGAGGGCGAGAGGUAUGCGGAAUGCGUGGUGUAGCGGUGAAAUGCUUAGAUAUUACGCAGAACUCCGAUUGCGAAGGCAGCAUACCGGCGGCGAACUGACGCUGAGGCACGAAAGCGUGGGUAUCGAACAGGAUUAGAUACCCUUGUAGUC
rnacentral:rRNA from 1 species